AACACUGUUAACCUGCGGUACCUGCGGAAGGAUCAUUACCGAGUUAGGGUAGUCACACUGCCCGGCCUCCCAACCCUGUGUCUACCAUACCUUGUCGUUGCUUCGGCGGACCGGUUGACCAACUGGUCAUGACCGCCGGGGGCUGGCUCUGUCCCCCCUGGAGAGCGUCCGCCGAUGGCCCAACCACAAAACUCUUGUACCGAAACGUGUCGUCUGAAUUAUGUUUGAGAAAUCAAAAAC
rnacentral:misc_RNA from 1 species